CCUACGGGUGGCAGCAGUGAGGAAUAUUGGUCAAUGGACGAGAGUCUGAACCAGCCAAGUAGCGUGAAGGAUGACUGCCCUAUGGGUCGUAAACUUCUUUUAUAAAGGAAUAAAACGAGGCACGUGUGCCUUUUUGCAUGUACUUUAUGAAUAAGCAUCGGCUAACUCCGUGCCAGCACCCGCGGUAAUAAGGAGGAUCCGAGCGUUAUCCGGAUUUCUUGGGUUUAAAGGGAGCGUAGAUGGGGUGUUAAGUCAGUUGUGAAAGUUUGCGGCUCAACCGUAAAAUUGCAAUUGAUACUGGCAGUCUUGAGUACAGUUGAGGGAGGCGGAAUUCGUGGUGUAGCGGUGAAAUGCUUAGAUAUCACGAAGAACCCCGAUUGCGAAGGCAGCUUACUAAACUGUGACUGACAUUGAGGCUCGAAAGUGUGGGUAUCAAACAGGAUUAGAUACCCUUGUAGUC
rnacentral:rRNA from 1 species